CUAGAAUGUCUUAGGCAUAUUACUGAAUAAUUGUCUGUUAUAGGGGCUUCAUGAUUUUUCUCUGAAGCAUCUGGAACCAAGCACUCUUGGAAGCAUGCUACCAGACUACAUGGACCAUUUGUCUGAUCUGGAAGGGCUGCCCGUGACUGGCAGUUUCAACCACCUCUGUAUCUCUAUGGAGACAGCCAACCCUUAAGGCAAAGACUGGUAAACAGGAUAUCUCAGAAAAGACAUCAUUGUUAAUCAGCUACGACUUACGUUAAGUUGGCUCUUAUGGAAAGGGAGCAUUAGGCUACGUGAACUGCAAUUAUUACAUACAUUCGUGCUGGUGAGAUAUUGAAUUAACCAUUCUGGAGACUGAAACCCUCAGUUUUACAUAAGAGGAAAGGGUAGCAUGCCUGUGAAGUUCCCCUACCCUAGCUCAAGCCUGCUUUAGGAUGACCACUUCUAGAGGCAAGUAGGUAGCUCCUGCUUCUGGCACUUUGCUCAUCAUGGGGAGAGCUGUUCCUGCUCAUGGGGACUGUAAUUGGCUGCACAAGGAUGAAGAUGGCUUUCCAUCCCAUCAUGCACCUGCACAAAGGCUAAUCAGAAUCUGGUCCGUUGUGCACACCUCACUCCUCACGUAGUGCAAACCAACGAAGUCUGGCUCCCAAUUUCAGUACCACCAACCCUCAGCAUAGAAAAUCUUGGAUCAGACCCCAAAAGUCAUGAGGAUUGACUUCAAAAAAAUAAACUUGGGAUGCUCUUCAUUUGCGUUCUGGUGCUUGAGCCUUUUUGGCUCACAUUUUCAAAGUUUCUCUGCAACCCUCAGGAUA